UUAGUUGGUGGAGUGAUCUGUCAGGUUGAUUCCGGUAACGAACGAGACCUCAGCCUACUAAAUAGUCACGUCGAGUACGCUCGAUGGCCGACUUCUUAGAGGGACUAUCGGCGUGUAGUCGAUGGAAGUUUGAGGCAAUAACAGG
rnacentral:rRNA from 1 species